GAAGGUAUAGCUCAGUGGUAGAGUGUGUGCUUUGCAUGUAUGAGGUCCUGGGUUCAAUCCCUAGUACCUCUA
rnacentral:tRNA from 1 species